rnacentral:lncRNA from 10 species
GAGUUCACAUGAGAUCUGGUCAUUUAAAAGUGUGUGACACCUCCCUCCACCCCAGUCUCUCUUUCUCUCUCCUGCUUUCACCAUGUGACUUGCCUGUUCCCCCUUCAACUUCCACUAUGAUGGAAAAUUCCCCAAGGCUUCACUAGAAACCAAGAAGAUACCAGCUCCAUGCUUCCUGUAAAGACUGCUGAACCAUGAGCAAAUUAAACCUCUUUUCUUCACAAACCACCCAGUGUAAGGUACUUCUUUAUGGCAAUGCAGUAACAGCCUAAUACAAGUGGUAAGAAGUCUGUAAUUUUGACUGAGAAUGAAAACCCUGCUGACAUGAUGAUUUGUGGCAGAUAAUGCAACUGAUUCCAUAGAGAUCGCUUGAGAUCACAAGUGAUGUGAACAAUCAAUCUGAAAAAUAAAAUUUAUUCAGGCCAUCACUUCAAGAGAACACUAUGAAUAGGUGCUGGAUCUAAUGACCUUUCAAUGGAAUGGCCACUUAAUUCAAUCCAGGAAAUGUUUGAGAGUCAAGUAGAUCAAGGGAGACAUUUAAUGACAUGGGGACAAGCAUGGUACCCCAGGGAUAUUCCAGGAAUUGAGACCCUAUUGUACCUUCAAACCUGAGAUUGUAUGAAUUCUCCACUAUUUGUUGCUUUGUUUUCUCUUUCUCUCCUUCUAAUAAAGUUCUAAACCAUCUGCAUAGCUUAAAUGAAAAGCUCUAUUAGCAAAGUUUGUAAUUAACUCUUAAAGCUCUUUCAAGUAGAUUAAAAUAGCUGAACCAUGUGUAUGACCAUGUUUUUGCUUAUGUCUCUGUCUUUUCUUUAUAAAAAUUCCUAAAAGUGAGUAUUUUACUUCCUAAGGGGAGCAUUUGAAAGGUUGGAGUCCCUAUGUGACAUCAGGAUAAUUGAGGCCCAAAUUUCCUUGUGAUCAACACUAUCUGGAAAGCUGCCUCAGUUCUCCAGUUCCUUUUGAAGUUGACAUCACCGCUGUGUGUGGUAUUUCGAACAUCUGUUCCCAUGAUUCCCAAGGAACAAGUGUCAUGAAUCACUGCUUCCCAAAAGAGUUACAUUUUGCUGAAAGUUGACUUCAAUUUUACUUGUGGUCUUAAAAGUCUCAAAAGAUAUAUUAAAAAUUCACUUCCAGAGUGUUUGUAGCAAACAAUUAUUGCUUGUUUUGUGGUGCAAGACUGAUACGUUACUUCAGGGAAGCAAAAA